UAAUGGAUAGCAAUAUCUAUGGUGGCGACCGGCGCACGGGUGCGUAACGCGUAUGCAACCUACCUUUAACAGGGGGAUAACACUGAGAAUUGGUACUAAUACCCCAUAAUAUCAUAGAAGGCAUCUUUUAUGGUUGAAAAUUCCGGUGGUAUAAGAUGAACCCGCGUCUGAUUAGCUAGUUGGUGAGGUAACGGGCCCACCAAGGCGACGAUCAGUAGCCGGCCUGAGAGGGUGAACGGCCACAUUGGGGACUGAGACACGGCCCAAACUCCUACGGGAGGCAGCAGUGGGGAAUAUUGCACAAUGGGGGAAACCCUGAUGCAGCGACGCCGCGUGAGUGAUGAAGUAUUUCGGUAUGUAAAACUCUAUCAGCAGGGAAGAUAAUGACGGUACCUGACUAAGAAGCACCGGCUAAAUACGUG
rnacentral:rRNA from 1 species